rnacentral:lncRNA from 1 species
AGAAUAGAUAAUGUGCUGAAAGCGGGAAACACUACUGCUUGUAGCAAAACCAAUGACACUACCUAUGGAUGAUAGUAGCAAGGUUAACACAAAAGGCACAUUUAAACACUGCCCUUGCCUUCGGCGCAGGGCAUCGGCCAUCUUCUUCAGCUUGUCAACAUUCAUCUACACGACACACAGGAGUUCUUGCAUUAGUAAUGGGACAGGGGAGAAAAAAGGGAGCAAACUGUUAGGUGCUAGAAGCAGGGCAGACGAAGUGGCAGCACCCAGUCACUGAGCAUUAAGAGUCAACGUUCUGAAAAUAGUUGGGUGCUAGAAGCAGGGCAGACGACAUGGCAGCAUCUAGAAUGUUGAACAAUGAAAAAAGGUGUUGGGUGUACUUGAUGGACCAUCUGUACAAGGCUGUCAUAGCCGUCUGUGCAAAAAUAUUCCAGAAAUGAGGUUGAGCUAUCACCAUGGAGUAUAACCAAUGAUGAAUUUUCCGUAGAAAGCGGGAAACGCUACUGCUUGUAGCAAAACCAAUGACACUACCUAUGGAUGAUAGUAGCAAGGUUAACACAAAAAGGCACAUUUAAACACUGCCCUUGCCUUCGGCGCAGGGCAUCGGCCAUCUUCUUCAGCUUGUCAACAUUCAUCUACACGACACACAGGAGUUCUUGCAUUAGUAAUGGGACAGGGGAGAAAAAAAGGGAGCAAACUGUUAGGUGCUAGAAGAAGUGGCAGCAUCUAGUCACUGAGCAUUAAGAGUCGAUGUUCUGAAAAUAGUUAGGUGCUAGAAGCAGGGCAGACGACAUGGC